UGAUGACAACAAACAAGUACCCCAGUGCAUUGUAAUUACGCUUGGACAAUGACUUACUCUCUGAAACAGUUUUAUAAGCACUUUCCACUCUCUAUAUGCUAAUGACGGUUUCUAGGCAAGGAAUGCAGUAAAUUGAAACUGAGAAUACCAGCGGAGGGUAAACCAUCAUUGCAUACAUGAUCAGACAC